CUGUGAUGAUCCAUUUUUUAGGACACCUUUGGAUUCAUCAUACAAACAACGACGCUCUGGUCAGC